CGAGUAAGACAGACGGCCGCCCCUCGUCGAGAGAUGCGGGGAGGAAAGUCCGAGCACCGCAGGGCAGGGUGCCGGGUAACACCCGGUGGAGGCGACUCCAAGGAAAGUGCAACAGAAAGAUACCGCCCGUCGCGAGUCGGGUAAGGAUGGAAAGGCGAGGUAAGAGCUCACCGACGGCUUGGCGACUUGUCCGUCAUGUAAACCCCACCUGGUGCAAGAUUGAAAUGGGAGCAUAUAAUAGCGGCCCGCUACGCUCCUGGAAAUCGCAUGAGCCCACCGGCAACGAUGGGCCAGAGAUAGAUGGUCGUCCUUAGACAGAACUCGGCUUACGGCUUGCUCGCAAC
rfam:Clostridium sp. CAG:1024 genomic scaffold, scf349